CCUCUUGACAAGGACGUUCAUGAAACGGAAAAAGCGCCUCUUGUAGUCUUCUGGGUUCCUGCACACGUAGAACUGGUGGAUGGAAUCCUCCAGCAGCCGGAUGAAGCACAGGAAUGUAAGCAGUUGAGUUAGUGUGAGAUGAAUGAAGCCCCGAAGUCACCAAAGUCAAGCUCCUCUUGACUCUGCUGAUCCAAGGGAAGUCCACGUGAGGACAUAGCAAGAAGGCAGCUGUCUGCAAGCCAGGAAGAGAGCUCCCACCAGUAAUCCAAUUGACUGGAGCCUUGAUCGUGGACUUCUAACCUCCAAAACUGACGCUGUAUUCAAGGAGUUCUUGACUCAGCACGGAGGUCACCACCCAAGUGGAAGGAGGGUGACUUGGUCAAGUCACUUCAGAAGAGCAAGACAACACCUACUCAAGGAGCAACAGGACGGCAGGGCUUGGGGGGAUCUGGGGGGAGAAAGGAAGAGAAUAAAACAACUUACUUUU